rnacentral:rRNA from 1 species
CCUACGGGGGGCAGCAGUGGGGAAUAUUGCACAAUGGGGGAAACCCUGAUGCAGCAACGCCGCGUGCAGGAUGAAGGCCUUCGGGUUGUAAACUGCUUUUGUACGGAACGAAACGGCCUUUUCUAAUAAAGAGGGCUAAUGACGGUACCGUAAGAAUAAGCACCGGCUAACUACGUGCCAGCAGCCGCGGGAAUACGUAGGGGGCGAGCGUUGUCCGGAAUGACUGGGCGUAAAGGGUACGUAGGCGGCUAGAUAAGUCAGAUGUGAAAGGCAUAGGCUUAACCUGUGUAAGCAUUUGAAACUGUCUAGCUUGAGUCAAGGAGAGGAAAGUGGAAUUCCUGGUGUAGCGGUGAAAUGCGUAGAUAUCAGGAGGAAUACCAGUGGCGAAGGCGACUCUCUGGACUGUAACUGACGCUGAGGCACGAAAGCGUGGGGAGCAAACAGGAUUAGAUACCCUAGUAGUC